rnacentral:rRNA from 1 species
GGCGAGGGGAGUGAAAAAGAACCUGAAACCGUGUACGUACAAGCAGUGGGAGCCUCUUUAUGGGGUGACUGCGUACCUUUUGUAUAAUGGGUCAGCGACUUAUAUUCUGUAGCAAGGUUAACCGAAUAGGGGAGCCGAAGGGAAACCGAGUCUUAACUGGGCGUUAAGUUGCAGGGUAUAGACCCGAAACCCGGUGAUCUAGCCAUGGGCAGGUUGAAGGUUGGGUAACACUAACUGGAGGACCGAACCGACUAAUGUUGAAAAAUUAGCGGAUGACUUGUGGCUGGGGGUGAAAGGCCAAUCAAACCGGGAGAUAGCUGGUUCUCCCCGAAAGCUAUUUAGGUAGCGCCUCGUGAAUUCAUCUCCGGGGGUAGAGCACUGUUUCGGCAAGGGGGUCAUCCCGACUUACCAACCCGAUGCAAACUGCGAAUACCGGAGAAUGUUAUCACGGGAGACACACGGCGGGUGCUAACGUCCGUCGUGAAGAGGGAAACAACCCAGACCGCCAGCUAAGGUCCCAAAGUCAUGGUUAAGUGGGAAACGAUGUGGGAAGGCCCAGACAGCCAGGAUGUUGGCUUAGAAGCAGCCAUCAUUUAAAGAAAGCGUAAUAGCUCACUGGUCGAGUCGGCCUGCGCGGAAGAUGUAACGGGGCUAAACCAUGCACCGAAGCUGCGGCAGCGACACUAUGUGUUGUUGGGUAGGGGAGCG